rnacentral:lncRNA from 10 species
CUCCCCUCCAACACUGCUCUCAUCACCUAUAUACUCUUCUCUCUGCCCGUCUCUGCUUCCCCCCCCUUCCCCCCCCCCUUUUCUCCCGGCCGACGGAGCUGAAGGGGCGGGGGUUCCUUCCUUGGAGUGUUUCUAGAGCUCGGAGGCUGCUGGUAGGGGGGCACCACUUUCAGAUAAAAACAUAGACCUGAAUGGCAUCAUCCAGUAUCCAAGGAAACCAUGUUCUCUAAACAUGAAUAUGCCUUUGGGGGAAGACAGAAGAACAUGGAAGCCAUGUGAAAAAAACGGAUCCUAAGGCAGUUUUGAACAUCUGGAGGCCUGAUUUAUUGGAGAUUGCAAAUGUACAGUGUAACAUAGCUGUGGAGAGCGAGAAGAUCAGGAUUGUCAAUGCUGUCAUUGCUUUUACUGGAAUCCCCAGCACGAAUUGAAGGUCUCACUUUGCCACCUAGGCUGGAUGCAAUGCAACGGUAUGUUGAUCUUGGUUCACUGCAGCCUCAACCUCCUGAGCUCAUGUGAUCCUCCCACCUCAGUCCCCCACGUCGCUUGGAUUACAGGCCUGUGCCACCACACCUGGCUAACUUUUUUUGUAAUUUUUGUAGAGACAGGGUCUCACUAUGUUUCCCAUGCUGGUCUUUAAUGCCUGAGCUCAAGCCAUCCGCCUGCCUCGGCCUCCCAAAUUGCUGGGAUUACAGGCAUGAGCCACCAUGCCCAGCCUAAUUCUUCUAAAUCUUAUCCUAGUAAUUAAGCCAGAAUUUUUCUCUGCCAAGACCAAUAGAUGGACCAAGAAGUACUCAUCCUUGUAAACUUUCUUUGGAUAAAUUGCUUACAUAUAAUAAAUUCAGAGUUAAGUAAUAAAAAUAAUGAACUACUGUCUUG